rnacentral:rRNA from 1 species
GACGAACGCUGGCGGCGUGCCUAAUACAUGCAAGUAGGACGCAGUUGCGAACGGGUGAGUAACGCGUAGGUAACUGCCUAUUAGAGGGGGAUAACUAUUGGAAACGAUAGCUCAUACCGCAUACUAGUAGAUGGACCUGCGUUGUAUUAGCUAGUAGGUAGGGUAAUGGCCUACCUAGGCGACGAUACAUAGCCGCCCUGAGAGGGGGAUCGGGCACACUGGGACUGGGACACGGCCCAGACUCCUACUGGAGGGAGCAGGAGGGGAUCUUCGGCAAUGGGGGGAACGCUGACCGAGCAACGCCGCGGGAGUGGAGAAGGUUUUCGGAUCGUAAAGCUCUGUUGUUAAGGAAGCGGUACUUAACCAGAAAGGGACGGCUAACUACGUGCCAGCAGCCGCGGUAAUUC